rnacentral:rRNA from 1 species
UACGUAGGUUGCAAGCGUUGUCCGGAAUUAUUGGGCGUAAAGAGCUCGUAGGCGGUUUGUCGCGUCUGCUGUGAAAACUCGGGGCUUAACUCCGGGCCUGCAGUGGGUACGGGCAGACUAGAGUGCGGUAGGGGAGACUGGAAUUCCUGGUGUAGCGGUGAAAUGCGCAGAUAUCAGGAGGAACACCGGUGGCGAAGGCGGGUCUCUGGGCCGUAACUGACGCUGAGGAGCGAAAGCGUGGGGAGCGAACAGG